AGGCGAAACACCCCUCCGGGGUGUCCGGUCGGAGUGGUGUCCGGCUGCUGACGAUGCCAGCCCGCA
rnacentral:hammerhead_ribozyme from 1 species